UACGGAAGGUCCUGGCGUUAUCCGGAUUUAUUGGGUUUAAAGGGAGCGCAGGCCGGUGUGUAAGCGUGACGUCAAAUACAGCCGCUCAACGGUUGUCCGCGUCGCGAACUGCACGCCUUGAGUACGCUGCAAGUGGGCGGAAUUCGUGGUGUAGCGGUGAAAUGCUUAGAUAUCACGAAGAACUCCGAUUGCGAAGGCAGCCCGCUGUCGCGUGACUGACGCUGAGGCUCGAAGGUGCGGGUAUC
rnacentral:rRNA from 1 species